AGGCGGUCCGUACCAUCGACCGUACUUGUUCCGGAUCAACCUGAAAUGAAGCUGUGCAAACUUAGGGCGCAAGAGAAGACAAACCUGAGUUAUCUUGUGACUGUUUGUCGAUAAGGGAGAGCUAGGGCGUGGUCAAUGACAGGCUGUUUUUGAGCUGUAAAGGAAAAGCAGCCUUGACCAUGUAUCUAGCCAUCUUUGUGAGCAAGGUUCAUGGGAGCCUUAAGGGAACCAAUCAGGAAGUAGCCCUUGCCUUGACCAGUUUGAAUUAACCAAUCAGGCGCCAUCAUCUCUCAUCCAAUCACAAGACAUCACGCAGAUUGCAAACUCACCACUCCAUCCUAGCCAUCCAUUCUUCAAGUGAUUUAUCAACCCUUAGAUUUAGGUUUAUGAUGUUUGUAACUUGUAAACCUUAUAUAAGGAGUGUAUGGACGAAAUUGUAUCUCUCUUAAGAGAGAGAGGGGGAUUUCCCCUCCUCCUUCAUAAUACAAAGUGUGUUCUUGGAUAAGAAUCCCUCAAACUACCCCUUUCUUAUACUUAAAUCUCUUAAUCUCUCUAAAUCUCUUGUUUCUGUCCAAGUUCAUACUGUUCUUCAUCAGACCUUUCUCUCUUCAGUUCAAGCUCUCAUUUCGCCCUUAGUGGCUUGUUCUCACACACAAACAGCCUGAGCUCUGAAAACCUAACAUGGUAUCAGAGCCAGGUUCAUCUGAACUUGGUACUAGCUUCCGCAUAUACAUCACAAGUCUAGCGUCAUCACAGAUCCAAACCAUUGAAGAUGUCCAGCCUGUUCUCUCUCUCUUCAAGAAAAAGGUGUUUGAAGCUAUGGUGGUGUCUCCUGGUCGUUCCUCCUCUCUCCAGUCCAUUAAAGGCAUGUCUCAACUCUGUGCCAAGCUGAAACCCUUCAAGAAGAAAGCUUUCAUCUUGUUCCUGAAGUUGGAGACUUGGAGCUGUGAAGAAAGGUGGAACCUUUUGUGUUGUGGUGUCAAGGAGGAGGUUAUGAACACAAGGAGAAGGUGUUGGGUGACGAUCCAGCUCUCUUAUCCACUAGAUUCGUGGCCUGUUACCAAGGAGGCUCAAGGAACCAGCUCAGAUUCCUUGGUUGUAAGCUAAUCCUAAACCUUCUUGACAUGAGCUUGUGAUUGAAACUGGCUGUUGUGUUGUGUUCUUUAUGUUGCAUCUGUGGGUUAAUGACUGAAAAUGCUUGAUAAUAUUGUCUUGUUUAGUCCCAGGAUGCUAUUGAGUCUUAUUUGAUGUUGAGAAAUGAAAUGCUUCCCGGUUUGGUUAUGAUUGUGCUAGGAUGUUAGAAACUGUCUAAAUCCUAUUAGCUUUCAUUAAACUGAAAUCACUUAAGGUUUUGCGUUGUCUGAUGUUGAUUGAUGAUAAGUAAUGCUUUGCCUCAGUUAUAAAUGAAUGUGUGCUAGAUUGUAUUGUCUGAUCUCUUGUUGCAUUCAUGAAUAGAAACUGAUUAAGGUUAGUGUAUACUGUCAUCUUGUUGCUGCCUUAGGUUGAUACACUUAGAUUCAAGUCUAAGAUGUAGUUAAGGCAGAAGUUAAAAUGCCAAAGUAGUUUGUCUUGAAUCUGAUUAGAUCUUGCUUGUACUUAGAGAGAUUGCUUGCAAAGAUGUGAACUUGAUAAUGCUUGUUUCAAUCUGUUGCAUAGCUUGUGACAUUGGAGAUCAAACUUGAUGAUUAGUCAAGGAUUGAUCCCAAUGAUUGUUUCUUAUCAUUGCUGGAGUUUGAGUGAUGUUUCAGGUUCACAUGAUGUGCUCUCUGUCCAUCAUCAAUCCGAGUAGAAGAGGAAGACUUUAUCCAUUGGGAAUGGUCGAUGGGGUGUAUGUGGAUACACAAGGCGAGUGGUCAUCACCUAAGUCUGGAGGAGACCGGUGACCAGAAGGCAUUGGAGAUAAAGGGAAGGGUUGAUCAAUGGUUGAAGCGCACUCUAUGAGAUGUUGCGCUCCUGAUCUUAAGGCUCAUUGAGGCUCACUUCAAGCUUGGACCCAUACUCAAUCCAAGCUUGAGGAGGGGAGCAAAUUGAGCCACCUGAUGAUCAUGUUGCUCAAUGACAUGUGUUACUCAAGGCCAUUGCAAGCUGAUCAUGGAGUGAUCCAGCCAAAGUUGAGGGAAGAAGAAAGUCAUUCAACAAGCUAGUGUGAGGUGCUUGGAGAGUGGGCUGAGGUAUCUCCUCAGUGCAAUGGUGAUGUAGUGGAGGAUUCAAGCAUCAAGUCUGAAACAGAUGGAUGUGCUCUCCACAAGGCUUAUCAUGGAGCUAUCAUGCGCUCACCAUCAAGCUUGGACCUUCCCUAUACUGGGUCUCAAGCUUGAGGGGGAGUGUGGAUGAGCUUGCAUGAUAAGAGAAGGAGCUGUUAAGCUCAACAAGUGAGGGAUUUAAGUGGCGUGUGAAGAGCAGCUACUCCUCACCAUUUAUACAAGGGCGUAAACCUGAUCUCUAUCUCUUUAUAUACAUUCAUGAUAGGUUUAUCUCUUGAGAACUGAUACACUUGUGGAAUGAUGUAUCAGGUACCUUACUUGGAUUCUCAAUGAAGAGGGCGUGAUCUUACCUGAUGGAGAUGGCGAGAAGCCAUGAGAGAAGGGAAGACACAAACCGAGUUCAAGAAGAUGUCUAAGAAGAGUGGUGAAGUGAAGAGGCCGUGAUCCAGAGCCUAUUUGCCUAAACCUCGGUGAUACAAAGGCACAUAGGCUCACUGGCCAAUCCCUAGGCUGGUUUGCUCUACUCUUUUUCCCUUAUCAAGGUUUUGUCCCAAAGGGUUUUCCUUGGUGAGGUUUUUAAUAAGGGGGUUCUUCAAGGUUCCAAGCUUGGCUUAGGAUCGCCUAGAGUCAAGCUUGAGGGGGAGUGUUGACUUGAAGAAAGAAAUGGAGCCGAAGGAGGAGUUGGUUGAGUUUGGGUCUUGAUGAAGGAUAGGACAAGAUCUUCAGAGAUUGUCUGUCAAGGCUUCAGGAGUGUUUAAAGAAGUCUAGAAGUGUCCCGAAGUCAGUGCAAAGAUAGGGUCAAGUCCAGGAGGGACUUAGACACCAUUUGGAGUAGUUUGGGCGAUGGUACAAAGUUAGGGCGAGCGGUACGGACUGGUACGGAUCUGUACGGACCUGUACGGAUCCGUACGGACCGAGGUCGACCAAGAAAUGUUCAGACUCAACAAUUUGAGGAGAUUGGGAGUUGGUGCAAAAAUAGGGCGAGGUACGGACAGGCGGUCCGUACCAUCGACCGUACUUGUUCCGGAUCAACCUGAAAUGAAGCUGUGCAAACUUAGGGCGCAAGAGAAGACAAACCUGAGUUAUCUUGUGACUGUUUGUGGAUAAGGGAGAGCUAGGGCGUGGUCAAUGACAGGCUGUCUUUGAGCUGUAAAGGAAAAGCAGCCUUGACCAUGUAUUUAGCCAUCUUUGUGAGCAAGGUUCAUGGGAGCCUUAAGGGAACCAAUCAGGAAGCAGCCCUUGCCUUGACCAGUUUGAAUUAACCAAUCAGGCACCAUCAUCUCUCAUCCAAUCACAAGACAUCACACAGAUUGCAAACUCACCACUCCAUCCUAGCCAUCCAUUCUUCAAGUGAUUUAUCAACCCUUAGAUUUAGGUUUAUGAUGUUUGUAACUUGUAAACCUUAUAUAAGGAGUGUAUGGACGAAAUUGUAUCUCUCUUAAGAGAGAGAGGGGGAUUUCCCCUCCUCCUUCAUAAUACAAAGUGUGUUCUUGGAUAAGAAUCCCUCAAACUACCCAUUUCUUAUACUUAAAUCUCUUAAUCUCUCUAAAUCUCUUGUUUCUGUCCAAGUUCAUACUGUUCUUCAUCAGACCAUUCUCUCUUCAGUUCAAGCUCUCAUUUCGCCCUUAGUGGCUUGUUCUCAAACACACACAGCCUGAGCUCUGAAAACCUAACAGUUCUUAACACACCCCAAUCUGAUUCUCUAAAAUCUCAUAUAAAUCUCAUAGGAGUUAGGAUGAAAAAGUUAUCCCACUUUCAAAUCAGGUGAUCCCAGUUAUCCUAUUUGGGAAUAUGACAACUUCUUCGUCAUUCUAAUCAAACCAGGAUGAAUCACCAAGAAGUUGAAUAAAUCUCAUAGGAGUUAGGAUGAAGAAGUUAUCCCACUUUCAUAUCAGGUGAUCCCAGUUUUACUGUUUGUGAAUAUGACUACUUCUUUGUCAUUCUAAUCAAACCAGGAUGAAUCACGAUGUGAGAAGCUGUAUAUGGAUACAUAAAGUAACGGAGAAUCACCAGAAAGUUGAAUAAGUCUUAUAGGAGUUAGGAUUAAGAAGUUAUCCCACUUUCAAAUCAGGUGAUCCCAUUUUUCAUGUUUGGAAAUAUGACAACUUCUUUUGUCAUUCUAAUCAAACCAAGAUAAAUCGUGAUCUAAGAAGCUGUAUAUGGAUACAUAAAGCAGUGGAGAAUCACCAGGAAGUUGAAUAAAUCUCAUAGGAGUUAGGAUGAAGAAGUUAUCUCACUUUCAAAUCUGGUGAUCUCAGUUUUCCUGUUUGGGAAUAUGACUACAUCUUUGUCAUUCUAAUCAAACCAAGAUGAAUCGCGAUGUGAGAAGCUGGAUUUUGAUCCAUAAAGUAGUGGAGAAUCACCAGGAAGAUGAAUAAAUCUCGUAGGAGUUAGGAUGAAGAAGUUAACCCACUUUCAAAUCAGGUGAUCCCAUUUUUCCUGUUUGGGAAUAUGACAACUUCUUUGUCAUUCUAGUCAAACCAGAGUGAAUCGCGAUGUGAAAAGUUGUAUUUGGAUACAUAAAGUAGUGUGGAUUCACCAGGAAGUUGAAUAAAUCUCAUAGGAAAUAUGAUGAAGAAGUUAUCCCACUUUCAAAUCAGGUGAUCCCAAUUUUUCUGUUUGGGAAUAUGACUAUUUCUUUGUCAUUCUAAUCAAACCAGGAUGAAUCGUGAUGUGAAAUGCUGUCUUUAGAUACAUAAAGCAGUGGAAAAUCACCAGGAAGUUGAAUAAAUCUUAUAGGAGAUAGGAUGAAGAAGUUAUCCCACUUUCAAAUCAGGUGAUCCUAGUUUUUCUGUUUGGGAAUAUGACUACUUCUUUGUCAUUCUAAUCAAACCAGGAUGAAUCAUGAUGUGAAAUGCUGUCUUUGGAUACAUAAAUCAGUGGAGAAUCACCAAGAAAUUGAAUAAAUCUCAUAGGAGUUAGGAUGAAGAAGCUAUCCCACUUUCAAAUCAGGUGAUCCCAAUUUUCAUAUUUCGGAAUUUGACAACUUCUUUGUCAUUCUAAUCAAACCAAGAUGAAUCGCGAUGUGAGAAGCUGGAUUUGGAUACAUAAAGUAGUGGAGAAUCACCAGGAAGUUGAAUAAAUCUCGUAGGAGUUAGGAUGAAGAAGUUGUCCCACUUUCAAAUCAGGUGAUCCCAGUUUUCCUGUUUGGGAAUAUGACUACUUCUUUGUCAUUCAAAUCAAACCAAGAUGAAUCGCAAUGUGAGAAGCUAGAUUUAGAUACAUAAAGUAGUGGAGAAUCACCAGGAAGUUGAAUAAAUCUCGUAGGAGUUAGGAUGAAGAAGUUAUCCCACUUUCAAAUCAGGUGGUACCAGUUUUUCUAUUUCGGAAUAUGACAACUUCUUGGCCAUUCUAAUCAAACCAAGAUGAAUCGCAAUUUGAGAAACUGUAUUUGGAUACAUUAAGCAGUGGAGAAUCACCAGGAAGUUGAAUAAAUCUCGUAGGAGUUAGGAUGAAGAAGUUAUCCCACUUUCAAAUUAGGUGAUCCCAUUUUUCCUAAUUGGACUGAGAAGCUGUAUAUGGAUACAUAAAGUAGCGGAGAAUCACCAGGAAGUUGAAUAAGUCUUAUAGGAGUUAGGAUUAAGAAGUUAUCCCACUUUCAAAUCAGGUGAUCCCAUUUUUCAUGUUUGGAAAUAUGACAACUUCUUUUGUCAUUCUAAUAAAACCAAGAUAAAUCGUGAUCUGAGAAGCUGUAUAUGGAUACAUAAAGCAGUGGAGAAUCACCAGGAAGUUGAAUAACUCUCAUAGGAGUCAGGAUGAAGAAGUUAUCUCACUUUCAAAUCAGGUGAUCCCAGUUUUCCUGUUUGGGAAUAUGACUACUUCUUUGUCAUUCUAAUUAAACCAAGAUGAAUCGCGAUGUGAGAAGCUGGAUUUAGAUCCAUAAAGUAGUGGAGAAACACCAUGAAGAUGAAUAAAUCUCGUAGGAGUUAGGAUGAAGAAGUUAUCCCACUUUCAAAUCAGGUGAUCCCAUUUUUCCUGUUUGGGAAUAUGACAACUUCUUUGUCAUUCUAGUCAAACCAGGGUGAAUCACCAAGAAGUUGAAUAAAUCUCAUAGGAGUUAGGAUGAAGAAGUUAUCCCACUUUCAAAUCAAGUGAUCCCAGUUUCACUGUUUGCGAAUAUGACUACUUCUUUGUCAUUCUAAUAAAACCAGGAUGAAUCACGAUGUGAGAAGCUGUAUAUGGAUACAUAAAGUAGCGGAGAAUAACCCGGAAGUUGAAUAAGUCGCGAUGUGAGAAGCUGGAUUUAGAUCCAUAAAGUAGUGGAGAAACACCAUGAAGAUGAAUAAAUCUCGUAGGAGUUAGGAUGAAGAAGUUAUCCCACUUUCAAAUCAGGUGAUCCCAUUUUUCCUGUUUGGGAAUAUAUCGCGAUGUGAGAAGCUGGAUUUAGAUCCAUAAAGUAGUGGAGAAUCACCAAGAAGCUGAAUAAAUCUCAUAGGAGUUAGGAUGAAGAAGUUAUCCCACUUUCAAAUCAGGUGAUCCCAUUUUUCCUGUUUGGGAAUAUAUCGCGAUGUGAGAAGCUGGAUUUAGAUCCAUAAAGUAGUGGAGAAUCACCAAGAAGCUGAAUAAAUCUCAUAGGAGUUAGGAUGAAGAAGUUAUCCCACUUUCAAAUCAGGUGAUCCCAUUUUUCCUGUUUGGGAAUAUAUCGCGAUGUGAGAAGCUGGAUUUAGAUCCAUAAAGUAGUGGAGAAUCACCAAGAAGCUGAAUAAAUCUCAUAGGAGUUAGGAUGAAGAAGUUAUCCCACUUUCAAAUCAAGUGAUCCCAGUUUCACUGUUUGCGAAUAUGACUACUUCUUUGUCAUUCUAAUCAAACCAGGAUGAAUCGUGAUGUGAAAUGCUGUCUCUGGAUACAUAAAGCAGUGGAGAAUCACCAUGAAGUUGAAUAAAUCUCAUAGGAGUUAGGAUGAAGAAAUCCCACUUUCAAAUCAGGUGAACUCAGUUUUCAUAUUUUGGAAUAUGACAACUUCUUCGUCAUUCUAAUCAAACCAAGAUGAAUCGCGAUGUGAGAAGCUGGAUUUGGAUACAUAAAGUAGUGGAAAAUCACCAGGAAGUUGAAUAAGUCUCAUAGGAAUUAGGAUGACAAAGUUAUCCCACUUUCAAAUCAGGUGAUCCCAGUUUUCCUGUUUGGGAAUAUGACAACUUCUUGGCCGUUCUAAUCAAACAGGAUGAAUCGCAAUUUGAGAAGCUGUAUUUGGAUACAUAAAGUAGUGGAGAAUCACCAGGAAGUUGAAUAAAUCUCGUAGGAGUUAGGAUGAAGAAGUUAUUCCACUUUCAAAUCAGGUGAUCUCAGUUUUCCUGUUUGUAAAUAUGACUACUUCUUUGUCAUUCUAAUCAAACCAAGAUGAAUUGCGAUGUGAGAAGCUGGAUAUAGAUACAUAAAGUAGUGGAGAAUCACCAGGAAGUUGAAUAAAUCUCGUAGGAGUUAGGAUGACAAAGUUAUCCCACUUUCAAAUCAGGUGAUCCCAGUUUUCCUGUUUGAGAAUAUGACAACUUCUUGGCCGUUCUAAUCAAACAGGAUGAAUCGCAAUUUGAGAAGCUGAAUUUGGAUACAUUAAGCAGUGGAGAAUCACCAGGAAGUUGAAUAAAUCUCAUAGUAGUUAGGAUGAAGAAGUUAUCCCACUUUCAAAUCAGGUGAUCCCAUUUUUCUUGUAUGGGAAUAUGACAACUUCUUUGUCAAUCUAGUCAAACCAGGGUGAAUCGCGAUGUGAAAAGUUAUAUUUGGAUACAUAAAGUAGUGGAGAAUCACCAGGAAGUUGAAUAAAUCUCGUACGAGUUAGGAUGAAGAAGUUAUCCCACUUUCAAAUCAGGUGAUCCCAGUUUUCCUGUUUGGAAAUAUGACAACUUCUUUGUCAUUCUAAUCAAACCAAGAUGAAUUGCGAUGUGAGAAGCUGGAUUUAGAUUCAUAAAGUAGUGGAGAAUCACCAGGAAGUUGAAUAAAUCUCGUAGGAGUUAGGAUGACGAAGUUAUCCCACUUUCAAAUCAGGUGAUCCCAGUUUUCCUGUUUGGAAAUAUGACNNNNNNNNNNNNNNNNNNNNNNNNNNNNNNNNNNNNNNNNNNNNNNNNNNNNNNNNNNNNNNNNNNNNNNNNNNNNNNNNNNNNNNNNNNNNNNNNNNNNNNNNNGUUAUUCCACUUUCAAAUCAGGUGAUCUCAGUUUUCCUGUUUGUAAGAAGACAAACCUGAGUUAUCUUGUGACUGUUUGUCGAUAAGGGAGAGCUAGGGCGUGGUCAAUGACAGGCUGUCUUUGAGCUGUAAAGGAAAAUCAGCCUUGACCAUGUAUUUAGCCAUCUUUGUGAGCAAGGUUCAUGGGAGCCUUAAGGGAACCAAUCAGGAAGCAGCCCUUGCCUUGACCAGUUUGAAUUAACCAAUCAGGCACCAUCAUCUCUCAUCCAAUCACAAGACAUCACACAGAUUGCAAACUCACCACUCCAUCCUAGCCAUCCAUUCUUCAAGUGAUUUAUCAGCCCUUAGAUUUAGGUUUAUGAUGUUUGUAACUUGUAAACCUUAUAUAAGGAGUGUAUGGACGAAAUUGUAUCUCUCUUAAGAGAGAGAGGGGGAUUUCCCCUCCUCCUUCAUAAUACAAAGUGUGUUCUUGGAUAAGAAUCCCUCAAACUACCCCUUUCUUAUACUUAAAUCUCUUAAUCUCUCUAAAUCUCUUGUUUCUGUCCAAGUUCAUACUGUUC
rnacentral:lncRNA from 1 species